GUCCUCAUAGGUAAACGGGAUAUACCUGCUGCCUCCUAAGCGGCCAUUCCAGGUUCGAGUCCUGGUGGGGACGCCA
rnacentral:tRNA from 1 species